rnacentral:rRNA from 1 species
AUUGAACGCUGGCGGAAUGCUUUACACAUGCAAGUCGAACGGCGGCACGGACUUCGGUCUGGUGGCGAGUGGCGAACGGGUGAGUAAUGUAUCGGAACGUGCCCAGUCGUGGGGGAUAACGUAGUGAAAAUUACGCUAAUCCCGCAUACGAUCCAUGGAUGAAAGCGGGGGAUCGCAAGACCUCGCGCGAUUGGAGCGGCCGAUAUCAGAGUAGGUAGUUGGUGGGUUAAAGGCCCACCAAGCCAACGAUCUGUAGCUGGUCUGAGAGGACGACCAGCCACACUGGAACUGAGACACGGUCCAGACUCCUACGGGAGGCAGCAGUGGGGAAUUUUGGACAAUGGGCGAAAGCCUGAUCCAGCCAUUCCGCGUGCAGGAUGAAGGCCCUCGGGUUGUAAACUGCUUUUGUACAGAACGAAAAGGUUUCUACUAAUACUAGGAGCUCAUGACGGUACUGUAAGAAUAAGCACCGGCUAACUACGUGCCAGCCGCCGCCGUAA